rnacentral:misc_RNA from 1 species
UUUUCAAAGUCAAAAUUCAUUUUCUGGAGUUUCACAUUUUUACUUUCUAAGAUAACAAUACAAAAGGGGGAGAAGAAUAAUACUAUAAACUAACAAGAUUUACAAAAUUUUUGCCUUCAUUUUGCAGUACUUUCUUAUGUCUGAGAUGCAGCACUACCACUAAUUAUCAGUUGAUCCAAUUUUUCUCCUGACAAAAUGCUCUCUUUUUCAUCGAUAUCGUCG